rnacentral:lncRNA from 1 species
GCUUCUACAACAGAUGACUUUCGUCUGCAGCAUCAGCGCCUAAGGCACCCGACAAUAGUGAACUCAUCAACAACCUCGAAAACAUCCGAGCUUCUUUUAGAUUAUUGAGACAGAGAGCCAUUCUGCUCCACCAGACAUCCCAGUCGAGCUUCAGCCGUCAGGCUCGAACUCUCUGACAAGUCGCGACAACGGACACCACUCCACUCCCCAUAACAAACUCCACGUGGCCCUGAAUGGCCCCCUGAUGCCACUACUCUCCGUAACAA